UGCCCCAACCUCCUUCUCUCUUUUCCACUCCUAUGGUCUUACAUUCAGCCAUCGUUUCUUUCACCAGGCCAACUGAAAUAACCGCUUAAGAGUCUUCUAAAUCUUACCUCUCAAAAUCCCAGCUCCACAGAGGCCCCAGGUAUUCAUUACAAUUUUGACAAAACACACACACCAGAGGAAAACUACUGCAACCAACGUGCCCCCGGGAGGGAGAUAAAGCGGUAGGCUACUGUUGGAAGAAUAUAAGGCUGGAGGAAACCUGUGAUGCUGGGGACACAGAUGCACUGAACUGAAGUGCUUUUCAAACCACACUGCCUGGACAAGUUCUAUUUGCACAGUCCUUUGGAGAUUUGGUGUUCCAGGACAUCUGUCCUUCAUGGUGUGAUUCAGCAUUCACGGUCACCUCCAAGAUCUGACUCCCCAACCUGAACUUGAAAGGGUACGAUGAUACUCAGAACCCAGACCCAUUCUGUGAGGUUGUGACCUGGCUUUGCCAUGUGUCAGAUAUGUCUGUGACCCACUGGCCAGAAUUUGUCACACACCUUAACCAGGUGUGUUUGCUUAACCACAAGCAGCCUGAGAAAUGCAGGGGGAAGACUAGGAUUAUUUGGGGGUAUUAUUCCCUCUCCUGUAACAAGAAAAGUCCACACUGGGUGGUAAGUUUAGAUGAAAUGAUUCUGAGUUUCUUCCACCAGGAAUUAUUGAUGACUUUGUUUAGUAUUUUUGGUUAGGCAUAGAGAUCCUGCAAGGCCAGUGAAAGAUGGGAAACAUAAACUUAUGAGAAAGACACAAUACUGGUAGAUAUUUUCUUGCUUUUUAAAAAAUUAAUAAGUAUGAUAAUUUAUGCUGCACAGCAUGUUACUUUGAUAUAUUUAUAUACUGUAAUAUGAUUGCUGAUGUGGCAAGAUUUAUCACAUUACCUCAUUGUAGUAUAAUAUUGUCUAUAUUCAUUACAUUGGCUAUUAGAUCCAUAUGGUUUAUUUACUGCUAACUACAAGUCUGUACCUUUAAACACCAUCACUCUUGUUACCCACCCCAACCCCUGGUAACCACCAAUUUAAUAACUGGUUUUUAUAGGUUUAAGUUUUUUGGAUUCCACAUAUAAGUAAUCAUAGACUACUUACCUUUCUCUGUCUGACUUAUCUCAGUUAGCAUAAUAUGCUCAAAUUACAUUCUUGCUUUGGUGAAUGGAAAGCUGUCCUCCUUCCUCAUAGCUGAGUAAUAUUCUAUUGUGUAUAUACCAAGUCUUUUUUUUUACCCACUCAUCUGUUGACGGACAUAUUGGUUGUUUCCAUAUCUUGGCUAUUGUGAGUGACGCUGCAGUAAAUACUGAUGAUGCA